AUUGAACGCUGGCGGAAUGCUUUACACAUGCAAGUCGAACGGCAGCACGGACUUCGGUCUGGUGGCGAGUGGCGAACGGGUGAGUAAUGUAUCGGAACGUGCCCAGUCGUGGGGGAUAACGUAGUGAAAAUUACGCUAAUACCGCAUACGAUCUAUGGAUGAAAGCGGGGGAUCGCAAGACCUCGCGCGAUUGGAGUGGCCGAUAUCAGAUUAGGUAGUUGGUGGGGUAAAGGCCCACCAAGCCAACGAUCUGUAGCUGGUCUGAGAGGACGACCAGCCACACUGGAACUGAGACACGGUCCAGACUCCUACGGGAGGCAGCAGUGGGGAAUUUUGGACAAUGGGCGAAAGCCUGAUCCAGCCAUUCCGCGUGCAGGAUGAAGGCCAUCGGGUUGUAAACUGCUUUUGUACAGAACGAAAAGGUUUCUACUAAUACUAGGAGCUCAUGACGGUACUGUAAGAAUAAGCACCGGCUAACUACGUGCCAGCAGCCGCCGUAA
rnacentral:rRNA from 1 species